UAGGUCGACGACACAAUGGGUCGCUAAGCCGCGAGGUGGCGCCAAUCCAUAAAGUUGGUCUCAGUUCAGAUUGUAGGCUGCAACCCGCCUGCAUGAAGAUGGAGUUGCCAGUAACCGCAGGUCAGCUAUACUGCGGUGAAUACGUUCCCGGGGCUU
rnacentral:rRNA from 1 species